rnacentral:rRNA from 1 species
AACUCACAGCGUGUAAAUUAUUAAAGUCGAACAGAGUAAUUAUCUUAAAACUCCUGCAUUUUAAAUAACAUUCAAUCCAACAUCGAGGUCUCAAACUAUUUUAUUGAUAAGAACUCUCAAAAAUAAUCUUGCUGUUAUCCCUAAAGCAACUUUAACUUUUAAUUUUUUCACAAAACCAAAUCAACUUCUAUUUUCAUAAAAUUAAAAAAAAAAAUGAGGUUCAAUAAUUUCAUCAACCGCCCCAGUUAAAAUAAUUAUAAACAUUUAAAUCUUUUUCCAUCUAUAAUUUUAACAAAGAUUUUAUAGGGUCUUCUCGUCCUCCUAAAAAAUUUUAACUUUUUCAUAAAAAAAUAAAAUUCAAUUCCAAUAAAAUUGAGACAAUUAGAACCUCAUUCAUUCGUUCCUUCGAUUUUACAAUUAAUAAACUAAUUAUUAUGUACCCUUUGCAA